rnacentral:rRNA from 1 species
UACGUAGGGUGCGAGCGUUGUCCGGAAUUACUGGGCGUAAAGAGCUCGUAGGUGGUUUGUCGCGUUGUUCGUGAAAACUCACAACUCAAUUGUGGGCGUGCGGGCGAUACGGGCAGACUGGAGUACUGCAGGGGAGACUGGAAUUCCUGGUGUAGCGGUGGAAUGCGCAGAUAUCAGGAGGAACACCAAUAGCGAAGGCAGCUCGCUGGGACGUUACUGACACUGAGGCGCGAAAGCGUGGGGAGCGAACAGG